ACAUCGAAAGCUUGCUUUUGAUGGGCGUCGACCGGCGCACGGGUGAGUAACGCGUAUCCAACCUGCCCACCACUUGGGGAUAACCUUGCGAAAGUAAGACUAAUACCCAAUGAUAUCUCUAGAAGACAUCUGAAGGAGAUUAAAGAUUUAUCGGUGAUGGAUGGGGAUGCGUCUGAUUAGCUUGUUGGUGGGGUAACGGCCCACCAAGGCGACGAUCAGUAGGGGUUCUGAGAGGAAGGUCCCCACACUGGUACUGAGACACGGACCAGACUCC
rnacentral:rRNA from 1 species